UCGCAUCGAAACUCGGCCCGCUCCGCCAUGACGGACGUUAAAACAACCUGUGCGUUCCUGUAAAACCUGUCGAAAAAAACGCAUAUGUGGUGGCCUAAUAUCGCUUUUAUUAAGCUGAUUUCGCAGUAAAAAGUGGUCAUAGGAUACUUCGCGGUCAAACAGACACGGAUACAAACCAAACCUGUCAUUUUAUUGUAUAACUUUUAACGAGGAGCGAUGGGCAGCAGCCGUCAGCCAUAAUGACUGGCUACUCGGUGUAACCGCGGACUUGCAGCGAACACGUUUUACAAGGAGUUUUUUCACCUGGUUCAUCUGAGGUUACUGGGAGUCUUUUCUGUGGAGUUAUUAGACUGCUGAGCAGACAAAUCCUCCAAGAAAGCCAAGUGGCCGAUUCCCUCUCCUGUGUGAUGAGUUCCUUGUGCAGAAUAUAACGUUUUAUUGCUGCAGCCUCCUCAGAGUGUGACUGUCAGCGGCAAGCCUCAGGUCUAACAUGUGACCACGGCCACAGCAGUCGUUUCUUGGUUCUACCUUUUUAUUCUCCAAAUGGAGCGUUGCCACAUGCAGGGAAGGCAACCUCACGUGUGUCCACCCAUUGUGUGCAGGUAUAACUGGCUCACUUUAAAAUGAUGGCGCUCUUUUUGAGAAAAUGUUGGUUCUCUCAAGCAGGAAAUCAGGUGGGACUCAUGGCAGACCUCCUUGGGAUUGACUCUUAUUCAUCAAUUUUGAAUAUGCAGCUAUUAAAUAUUCAUUUAUUUAUCAAG